rnacentral:RNase_P_RNA from 2 species
AUUUUGAAUCAAUCGCUAUAUUUGCAAAAUAAUAUAGAGGAAACUCCACGCUUGCACAUCCUGUGAUGGAUGUAGUGUUUGUGCUAAAGGAAAAAAUAACUUUAGGCACCAAUUGGUGACGACUAGAGGUAAACCUAAGUGAAUUUAUUCAUAUGGUUGAAACUGUAAAGUGCCACAGGGACGAUUAGCUAGAAAUAGUGAAAUGGAACGGGUAAACUCCACAAGCAAGAAACUCAAAUUUUGGUAGAGGAGCUAGAGAAUAGAGAAUCGAAUCUAUUCUUUGGAUCACUCUUUAUGGGUGAUAGAUAGAUGAUUGAUGCGCGUAAGCGUUACAAAACGUGGGUUAUGAUA